rfam:Chlamydia trachomatis RNase P RNA subunit, partial sequence.
UCGGAGAGUAAGGCAACCGCUGAAACCAGCUUUUUAAAAAAGAUGAGUACCAGAGGAAAGUCCGGACUUUAUAAGAAAAGAUGCUGGAGAAAUUCCAGGGGCCGUAAGGCUACGGAAAGUGCAACAGAAAACACUCCGCUAUAAAUUGUAUAAUUUAUAGACAGGCUGAAAAAUCUUACUUUAGGAGUAAGAGCUGCUAGGGAAACCUAGCAGACUUGUAAACCCCAUCUGAAGCAAGAGAAAAAGUUAUUUGUUUCUGCAAACAACCUUUCUAACGAAAGGCACAGGCUUUUUCAUAAUCGCUUGAGGAGUACAGUAAUGUGCUCCCUAGAUGAAUGGUUGCCCGCAAGCAAGAACUUCCGUUCGUGCUUGUCGACAGAAUCCGGCUUACUCGCUCUUCCGAGCUU